rnacentral:rRNA from 1 species
AUUGAACGCUGGCGGAAUGCUUCACACAUGCAAGUCGAGCGGCAGCACGGGGGCAACCCUGGUGGCGAGCGGCGAACGGGUGAGUAAUACAUCGGAACAUGCCCAGUCGUGGGGGAUAACACUUCGAAAGAAGUGCUAAUACCGCAUACGUCCUGAGGGAGAAAGCGGGGGAUCUUCGGACCUCGCGCGAUUGGAGUGGCCGAUGUCAGAUUAGCUAGUUGGUGGGGUAAAGGCCUACCAAGGCAACGAUCUGUAGCUGGUCUGAGAGGAUGAUCAGCCACACUGGGACUGAGACACGGCCCAGACUCCUACGGGAGGCAGCAGUGGGGAAUUGUGGACAAUGGGGGCAACCCUGGUCCAGCCAUUCCGCGUGAGUGAAGAAGGCCUUCGGGUUGUAAAGCUCUUUCGGCAGGAACGAAACGGCGAGCUCUAACAUAGCUUGCUAAUGACGGUACCUGAAGAAGAAGCACCGGCUAACUACGUGCCAGCCGCCGCAGUAAGAC